AGCGAACGCUGGCGGCAGGCCUAACGCAUGCAAGUCGAACGGAUCCUUCGGGAUUAGUGGCGGACGGGUGAGUAACACGUGGGAACGCGCCCUUUGGUUCGGAGCAACUCAGGGAAACUUGAGCUAAUACCGGAUGUGCCCUUCGGGGGAAAGAUUUAUCGCCAUUGGAGCGGCCCGCGUCUGAUUAGCUAGUUGGUGGGGUAAAGGCCCACCAAGGCGACGAUCAGUAGCUGGUCUGAGAGGAUGAUCAGCCACAUUGGGACUGAGACACGGCCCAAACUCCUACGGGAGGCAGCAGUGGGGAAUCUUGCGCAAUGGGCGAAAGCCUGACGCAGCCAUGCCGCGUGAAUGAUGAAGGUCUUAGGAUUGUAAAAUUCUUUCACCGGGGACGAUAAUGACGGUACCCGGAGAAGAAGCCCCGGCUAACUUCGUGCCAGCCGCCGCCGUAA
rnacentral:rRNA from 1 species